UGUUUUUGACACGGCCUUAUGAACCUACCAUUAACUCCCUCUACCAAAAUCAAUAAAAUGAAAUGGGGAAACACUGGAAAUGCACCCGCAGGGGCAUAGACGCCGCAGAAGAUCCCUGCCCCCCUGACCACAACCAUUUCGAGUAUCGAGAGACGAGACCGUUACACCACCCCCGCCUUCGGAGCGGACGAACCAGCGAACCGCGCGCCCCCGCCCAUCUCUCUCUCUCUCCCUCCUCCUCCCCCCACCGAAUCCGUCCACCGAAUCCCCUCACACUCCCAUGGAUCGCUUGGCGCGGCCGGCGAGCCCGGGCGGCGGCGGGCUGGGCUACGCGUCGCGGCGGGGCCUCUACGCGCAGGCUUCGUCGCAUCACCUGGCCGGCGGCAGCGCGCAGACGUCGCCCGGCGGAUCCCCGAAGGAGCUGUCCCCAGUCCACCGCCACGCGCGGGCGGGAUCCCUCGGCGGCGCUGGGGCGGCCUCCACCGCAGGCCGCCGCGCGGGGGUCGGCGCCGGGGCCGGCGCUCGCGCGCAGAACAGCGCCGCUCGCGCCGCCGCGCAGCGCCUCGCUCGGGUCAUGGGCGGCGCGGGCGGGGACGCCGGAAGCGGGAGCGACGACGACGACGACUACGAGCUAUCUGGUCCACCCAUCGAGCUCUCCAACACCCCGCGCCGCACCUCCACCCGAUCCCCUUCCCCCUCGGUAGGCCGUCACCUUGCGGAUCAGACGCAGGUGGGCCGGCCGCCGUCGCUGACCAACCGUUACACGGCUGGGAAGUCGGUCCCCAUGAUCCCGUCGAUCAAGCGGCCGGCCACCAGUGGGCCGGGGGCUGGAGCUGGUUCAGAGUCGCCCAUGCCGAACCGAAGGGAGCAGAGGAGAUCAGUUGAUCUUGGAAGUUCAUUGAGAGCUCGUCGUACAUCUUCUUCACUUAAUGAUGAGAUUAACACACUUCAAGUGGAAAAUGAAAGCAUGUAUGACAAACUUCAGCUUGCAGAAGAAAGGUUUGAUGAUGGAGAUGCCAAAUCCAUGCACAUGGAGAGAGAGGAUUCUGAUGCUGGCGAUGCAGCAGAAACAGAGCCAAUUUUGAUUAACAGGAAAGAUGCAGCGCUAGAACAAAGAAAGAUUGCUAUGAGAAUUGCUUCGCGAAGGUCCAGCAGUGCAAGCUGUAAUGAGAUUGCAACCCUUAAGUCAGAAGCAAAGGUUACUACUAAUGUGGUUACAUCUCUAUCUCGGAGAGUGAAAAGUGCUAGAUCAGAAUUGAGAUCUCUUCAGGCAACAGCUAACAGAAUGAUCCUGUCACAGGAAGAGCUGGAGGAGGUUGUGCUAAAGAGAUGUUGGCUGGCCCGCUACUGGACAUUAUGUUCUAAACUUGGGAUACAUUCUGAUAUUGCUGAAGAAAAAAAAGAAUACUGGUCCUCAUUUGCACCGCUUGCGCUUGAAGCAGUCCUAUCAAUUGGGCAAAAGGCAAGAGAUGGAACUUUAUCAGAUAAUGCUGACAUGGAGAGCAGAAGCAAAAUGUCUGAUGUAAAUGAUAUAUCUACCGAUGGCAAUAUUGAGACCAUGCUUUCAGUUGAGAAAGGGUUGCGUGAAUUGGCUUCACUCAAGGUAGAGGAUGCAAUCAUGCUUACUUUGGCUGAAAAUCGGCAUGUCAAACCUCUCUCAGGUGGCUUUUCCAAAAUGCCAAGCUUCUGAGGGUCGGAGCCCUUCCGAGUCAUUAGAGUUAAGUGCGGAAGAGCGAGAAGAUGUACGCUUCAAGCAGGCAUGGUUGACCUAUUUCUGGAGGCGGGCGAAAAAUCACAACAUAGAAGAAGAUAUAGCUGAUGAGAAGCUACAGUUUUGGAUAGAACAAAUCAAUUACCCAGUUACUACGAGCGAAGUAGUAGAAGUCGAGAGAGGACUCCACGAGCUGAAGAAACUGGGAAUCGAGUCUCAGCUGUGGGAGGCGACGAGGAGAGCUCUGGAUGAUGAUUUGAGCAACCACGGGAGUCCAACUGGAUCUGAAGCUUAGCAGAUGCAUAAUGUGGAGCGAGGCUCUAUUGCCGAUUUUGUGCCGUCAGAGGCCCUAGAGCCAGCCAGCCCUCCUAGUCCUUUCCUUUCGCUUGCUUGGUAUCUUCAUGUAACAUAUUGAACUUUUCCUCUUUUUUUUUCUUCUUCUUUUGGGUUAUCUAUUUUUAUGCUAGUUUAUCCGUGAAAGCAAAAGGGGUUUAAAUCGUGGAGGAGUCGUGAUGCUCUGCUCUCUCCAUCUACAGCAACAAAAAUAUUAUGCA